UUUGCUUUUUCAGUUUUUUUUUUAAUUAUUUUAAGUUCAUGUUCCCUAAAAUCAGGAUGGUUUUUUUGUCCAUACCCAUUAGCAAAUCGGAGGUUACCCAGAGGUCAAAUAUGAUGUUUUCCUUGCGAGAGCAGUGUAAGGAUCGGCUAUUCAGUGUGUGCCCUAGGAGUGAACCCAGUUGUAUAACAUCCAUCAUAUCCAUUACCUGGCUCAAUCAUCAUGAGCCAUGACCUAAGGGGCUUAGAAGGACACUACACAUGAUGCCAAGGAUAGAGACUUUACAAGCCUGCUAGCUUGUGGCAUAAAAGUCUUUCUUUCUCAGUUGUCCAGACUUUUAACAGGGCUAUGGUAAAGCUGAGCGAAUGCAGUAAAGUUUUGUUUUGCGAAGCUGGUACCUGGGAUCUGUAGAUUCAGUCUCUGCCCUGGGAAUGAACUCUUCUGAAUCUCUAUCUGUCAAACUCAUGUGUGACACCAAGACAUUUCUCAGUGAAUGUGAGCUUUGAAUCAGCUUUUUCACCCCACUAUCUUGAGAUUUUACCUGGAAAAUAUGUUGAAGUAGCUACCUCUCUACCUUAAACACAUGGCUGAUUUGUGGACAUAUCACACAUAAUUGCAUAUUUCCACAUUAAAGCCACAGUAUAUUGAUGAGAACGCAGCAAAAUCCUACUUACUAGCUCGCUAGUUAUAAUGUCGGUACCUCCACUGGACCACUGCCAGAACUCCUUAAGUUUCAUAUCUGCCAUACGCCUGAGAGAGAUAAACCUGACUCUAUAACAUCCUUCAUAUCCAUUACCUGGAUGUGUCAGGUACGAGUCGGGGGCGGCUGGAUGUUGAAUGAUGCCAUGAAGCUCCCAGGGUGGCACUCAGUGAAUGCCAAGUUCACUAUCGCCUUGCUGUAACAUCAGCCAGGAAGCAUGAGAGAGAGAAGAGGAGGAGGAGGACAGAGGAUGAGUAAGAGUGAGAGAAAGAACAGUGAUGAAGUUGGGGGAACUGGAGAGAACGCUAUCACCUUUCUCUUAUUGUUACCAUCGGCAACAUGCGGAGGGAAAAGCAGAGAAGACAGUGCUGAUCACAUUUCACUCAGCACUACAUGCACACACACUCGCACUGAUUAAACAAUACCCUGAUACUGUAGCCUGACUGUGCUGACUUAUUAAUGAGUGAUGAACCGGCAUAAAACAGCCGUACAGCAGUAAUUUCACGACUGUCAGUGGUCAGAUUAUGAUCGGGCAGCAUCACACUGCAUCUGGAUCUGAAUGUUGAUGCUGUUUCACAGAUGUCCUAAAAUUAAUAAGCAGAGUUUGUAAGCAUCAACAUGUACACAAUGUUAUCUAUAUAACAUACAAUUUUUGGAUUGUGGACACAUAUAUAACUUGAAGUGCAAGGUAGAGUUUGUUGUGUGUGGACAUUGGACCUGAAUCUGUGGAUGAAAUUACUUUUGUGUUGGUUAAUUCAUUGAAGUAGUGCAGUUUCAGAUAGCAGUCUUAAUGGCCAGAGGUAUUUGGACAUCCAGUUAUUACACACAUAUGUGUGAUUAUUGAUGUGUUUUUUUUUAAACAACGGAUGUUGCAGUUGAGGUUUUCUUGCCUCUGGACCAGAACGCAGAACAGAAAGUGUCUUCCCAAAACCACAAAGUUAUACAAUACAACUUUGUGUAUUAAAUACAAAUACAUUAAAUACAUACAGUAAAUACACUUUUGUCUAAAAUACCAUUGUGUGCUGUUGCAUUCAAAUCUGUCAUUGGAACAAAAGGUGUCUACUUCAAACCAU